UUUUUUUUUUAAUGAAAUUAGGAAUGAUUAUGAAAUAUCAAAUUCUGAAUUUUUUUUAGAAUUAUUGUGAAUCCAUUCCAAUCGAAUAUUGAGUAAUCAAAUCUUCAUUCAUUGUUUUGAGAUCUUCAAAAAAGUGGAUUAAUCGAACGAGGAUAAAGAGAGAGUCCCAUUCUACAUGUCAAUACUGACAACAAUGAAAUUUCUAGUAAAAGGAAAAUCCGUCGACUUUAUAAGUCGUGAGGGUUCAAGUCCCUCUAUCCCCAAACCCUCUUUUAUUCCCUAACCAUAGUAGUUAUCCUUUUUUUUUCUUUUAUCAAUGGGUUUAAGAUUCAUUAGCUUUCUCAUUCUACUCUUCACAAAGGAGUGCGACGAGAACUCAAUGAAUCUUAUGCUAUUCAUUAAAUAGAUGAUUUCUUUUUAUUUGAUAGGAUUACCCCGCCCAUUUCCAAAUUUAGAAUGGAAUACUUUAUUGAUUUUUUAGUCCCUUUAAUUGACAUAGAUGCAAAUACUCUACUAGGAUGAUGCACAAGAAAGGGUCAGGAUAGCUCAGUUGGUAGAGCAGAGGAUGAAAUCUCGUGUCACCAGUUCAAAUCUGGUUCCUGGCACAGAAAAAAAAGGAUCUACCGAAUAGAUAUUGAUACAAAUAUCUUGAGAUGGAUUGGGGUACAUAUUCAUUAAUAAUAUAGAUACUAUAGAGUAAGUAGAUAAAUCUCUAAACACUUCUUUUAAAAAAGGGUGAAAAUCUCUGGUUAUUUCUUUCUGGUUCUUUUCUUUAUGGUAUAGAUAUAGAAAGAGGGGAGAUUAGGUGCCCUUUUCUUUAUUUUUGCAUUUCUUAUUAAUUUUUUAUGCCGCUAUUCCAAAGAAUUUUUUUAUUCUUGCUUAUCCUACUUCCCUAGUUGUUCUAAGUAAUCUGCGCGGUACAAAGUUCGUGGUAGGAACUUCUUUGAGUCAUUGUAUUUUUAUGUUCAUACGAAGGAAACAAUAUGUGAUUUCCAAAUUGGAAAAUCGAAAUGAAGCCCUUUUUGUUCAGUCUAUCUGGAUCUUUUUGUAUAAUAUAAUAGGAAUUAAUUAGAAUAUAAUAAGUAUUUCGUUUCGUCUAGGAACAGAACGUAAAAAUAUUCCUUGACUUGAAUAAAAUCUGGAGUUGUGUUGUAUAAGUGAACAUGAAUUUAUUAUCAUUCAAUGAGCAUCUUGUAUUUCAUAGAAUUGGGGGUUAUAUAGUCCUUACGUAAGGGCCAGCCUAUCCAACUUUCAGGCAUUAAGAUACGUUUAAGACGUGGAUGAUUAUCAUAAGAAAUUCCCACCAUAUCAUAAGAUUCGCGUUCUUGAAAAUCGGCACUUCUCCAAACCCAGAAGACAGACGGAUUCUAGGAUUAUCUUUUUGGGCAAAGACUUUAUGCAUACUUCUUCUGGUUAUCUAUACCAUAUUGUAUUCUCGUAAGAUGAUACACGCUAGCUAAAGAUCCACCGGGUGCUACGUCAUAAGCACAUUGGGAACGUAAAUAAUUGUAACCAUAUACAUAUAAAAUGACAGCAAUGGAAUCCCAAUCCCCCGCUUUUAUUUGUAAAGUCUCUAUUCCUCGGUGAUCGAAGCCCAAAGAUCUAUGAACCACCUCAUGUUUGACUAGCCAAUUAGAUAACCAACCCUGCUGCAUUGUCUUGAUCUCUCCCCUUUGUAUAAAUAUUUCACAUUUCAAAUGCAAGUUUGAAAGAUUGCACUGCUCUUUCUUUUUCUGCACAAAAGAACCCCUCCUAAUUCACUAAUUUGUAGGAAGAUAUUGGACUUUUGGAUUUGAAAAGAGUUUCAGAAGAUAUAUCUAAAGUAGAUGGUGAUUGAUAGAGCAAUUCUUGUUCGUAAGUUCCAGUGUGAGUACUGCGCCGAACAUAAAGCUUGUGACGGGUAGUAAAAGAUCUAUUUUUCUUUUGACUUUGACAUAGAGUUCGAUCCUCAACUAUUUCUCGCGAUAUCUUCUUACGAAGUUUGUUAGGGCAUCUAUAACAGCCUCUGGUUUAGGCGGGCAACCCGGUAGGUAGACAUCCACAGGAAUUAACUUAUCAACUCCUCGAACAGUACUAUAGGAAUCCGUACUGAACAUUCCGCCUGUAAUAGUACAGGCUCCCAUAGCAAUGACGUAUUUCGGUUCAGGCAUUUGCUCAUAUAAUCGCACUAAAGAUGGAGCCAUUUCAUGUUACCGUACCAGCUGUUAAAAUUAGGUCCGCUUGCCUAGGACUUGAUCUUGGUACCAAUCCAUAACGAUCAAAGUCGAAUCGUGAGCCUAUUAAUGAAGCAAAUUCAAUGAAACAACAACUGGUACCAUAUAGAAGGGGCCAUAAACUGGAGAGUCUUGACCAAUUCGAAAGAUCGUUUGGUGUAGUUGAAAUAACGGAAUUGGAACUUGUUUGGUCGAGUAACGGAAACUCAAUCAAACUCAUAAUUGUCUCAAUGGAAUCUUUUCCUUCUUUUUUUUUUUUUGUUUGAAUAUUCAGUUAAGACCAUUCCAAGGCUCCUUUUCGCCAUGCAUAAACUAAACCAACAACUAGGAUAAGCACAAAAAUGAAAGCUUCGAUAAAAACGGAUACACCUAAUACGUCGAAACUCAUUGCCCAAGGGUAGAGAAAGACCGUUUCCACAUCAAAAACAACAAAAACUAGCGCAAACAUGUAAUAGCGUAUUCGGAAUUGUAACCAAGCCCCCCCAUGGGUUCUAUACCCGAUUCAUAACUAGAAAGCUUCUCUGGUCCUUCACUAACAGGGGCUAAAAGUCCUGAAAUCCAAAAUACCAAAAUAGGAAUAAGGCUUGCUAUUAUUAGAAAUGUCCAAAAAAUAUCAUAUUCGUGAAGCAGAAACAUAAAUGUACUCCCAUUAAUGUGGAAUAGGCGGAACUGAAUUAGUCAAUUCAAGUUGACAUGACAUUGUCAAUUUAUCCAGAACUUCUCUCUUUUCCUCGGUGAAACAAGAAUCUGUUUUGCUCAAACCAAAGGCAAAAAGCGGCUUACUUUAGCCUUUGUUUCUUUUGUAACAUGUCUCUCCUUAAGGAUUCAUCCAAUGGAAUCCCCAUUCCCUUUUUUUUUGAUUCCUCUUCUAUUUAGAUAUGAUAUAGACCUAAUUCUUAUACAAAGAAAACUCUUUCGCUUCACUUUGUCUCGCUUUCUCUAAAAUCUUUAGAAAAAAGAAUUACUCCACCCUUUAUUUAAUGAUAGUCAUAGACUAUUAAAUAAAAAAUAAACUACUUACUACUAAUUAGAUUAGAACCUAAUUAAAAUGGGAUAACUAAUGUAUGCAUCCUAAUGAGGAGUAAUACUAAAAAAAAAGAACUCUAUUUCAGAAUUAUGAAACAGAAUAUCUAGUUUUAUUAUUUACUCUUUCUUUUUUUUUCUUUCGAUUUUUUCUAUUUUAUUUAAAGUGGAUCGAUUUAGAUAAUGUAUAUAUAGUAAUAUACUUCAAACAAAAUAGGAAUUCGCAAAAUGGAGAAAAUCGUUGCAGUCAUUAUAGAAAAGUAUAGGACUUAGAGCAUAUCCUAUUUGAAGGAGGAUGGAAUUCAAAUCAGUUAAGGGACCCUUCCUCCCUUCUAUUGAUUUGAUCAAAAUUCUUUUUUCUUUUCCUGUCUCUAUGAUUUUCCAUGAAUGGAGCCUAUGGUAAUGCUUUUAUCUCUAUUCUAUGGCGCAAUCGACCGUCGAGUCUAUAAACAAGUACUAAAUAAGGAAAUAUGGAAAAAACUAUACUAAAGGAAACACAAGAUAUCCAUCCUAAAAUGAAAAAAAAAGACGUAUAUAUUAGGGCUAUACGGAUUCGAACCGUAGACCUUCUCGGUAAAACAGAUCAAACGGAUUAUUAUCGAAAUGAUUCGAACUGUUUCAAAGACCCAACAUGCAUUUUUUUUUCUGCAUUGGGCUCUUUCAUCAACUGAUGUAAAGAUCGGUUAAUCCGCCAUAGUUUUUCUUUAGGGAAAAAUAAUAAGAUGGCUCCCUGUGCUCUGAUUGAUUAUUUUUCUUAAUAUCUAUCUAGGAGCAAUACCAAAGUGUUUCAAAGGAGGAUUACCUUGACUUAGGUCUGCCUCCGGCCUAAAUUAAAUCAACCUAAGUGAAAUGGAGUCUCUAUCGUUCCGCUGCAAGAGUUUACUAUGAGACUUCAUACACCUUAAAGUUCAUAGAACGAAAAGAAGUUUUUUGGAGGCCCUUAUCCUCAUUACGCCUAGCAUUGAGUGGGCUGGAUAUUUACCUUAUCAACUAGCAAAUCAAUAGGGGUUCCAUUUGAUUAAGCACCUGAAUUGGCACCUGAAUCGGACUGAACCGACUGUUUGUCAGGCUAUUGUUCUCCUAUUCUUUCGAAUCCAUGAAGUAAGACAUUGAUUUUGCAAUAAGUUCAAUUAUGUUCAUUGCAUAAUAAGUUCCCUUGAAAAGCAUUGGCGCACGUGUAAGCGAGUUGCUCUACCGAACUGAGCUAUAGCCCUUGUCAGAGAUAUCUUAACAUAUAGAUAAUUUCUUGUCAAGAUGAAUAUUCUCUAAUGCCAGAGGAUAUUCCUUUGAUUUACUAUAUAAUAUAAACAUACCAAUAACAUAACAUAAACAUACCAAUAAUGGAGGGGUAUUGCUUAUAAAAAGGAUUCGAUCUAUAAUCGAUCGAAGUAAUGGGGCUUCUUUUGUGGUGAUAAAUUGCCUACUUAACUCAGUGGUUAGAGUAUUGCUUUCAUACGGCGGGAGUCAUUGGUUCAAAUCCAAUAGUAGGUAGGUAGGUAGAAAAAUUACUAGAUAGCAUUGGGCUUACUUCGCUUCGCUAUCUAAUAACUUUUUCUACCCUUCUUUCCUUUUUCUUUGUAUCAACGAAACCUUUGGAUUGUCUUCAAUUGGAUGGGGGAAUCCAAUUGACAGCCUCGACUCGUAUCCUAGCUCGUCUGAGAGCUAGCUUCGCUUCAACCAAUUCUUUCGUACCCUCAGCUCUACUCAAGUUAGCUUCGGCUAUUUCAAGUGCCUGUUGAGCUUCUUCUGGAUCAAUGUCACUACCGAGUUCUGCAUCAUUUCCUAAAAUGAUGAUCUCAUUAUUAACUAUUCUCGCAAAACCACUCCACAGAACCGCCGUUAACCAUUGGUCGUCGAGGAGGCGUAUUCUCAAAGGACCCAUAUCUACAGCUGUGUUAAUGGGGGCGUGGUUUGGUAAUACACCAAUUUGGCCACUAUUAGUAGAUAAAAUGAUUUCUUUCACUUCACAAUCCCAAAUAAUUCGUUUAGGAGUCAGUACAUAAAGAUUUAAUUUCAUUUCGUCAAUUUGCUCUCCUCUUCUAAGUUUAUAGCUUUCGUGCUAGCUUCAUCGAUGUUCCCCACCAAAUAAAAAGCCUGUUCGGGUAGGCCGUCUAAUUCUCCGGAAAGGAUUAGUUGAAAUCCCCUAAUUGUUUCUGCAAGACCAACAUACUUUCCUGGGGAACCGGUAAAAACUUCUGCCACAAAGAAUGGUUGUGAUAAGAACCGCUCGAUUUUUCGCGCUCUUGCUACAGUUAAACGAUCCUCCUCCGAUAAUUCGUCCAACCCAAGAAUUGCGAUAAUGUCCUGAAGUUCUUUGUAACGUUGUAAAGUUUCCUUAACUCUUUGCGCAGUUUCAUAAUGUUCGUUGCCAACGAUCCGAGGCUGUAACAUCGUUGAGGUUGAAUCUAAAGGAUCUACUGCGGGAUAAAUACCCUUGGAAGCCAAUCCUCUGGAAAGUACGGUAGUAGCGUCCAAAUGUGCAAAUGUUGUGGCAGGAGCAGGGUCGGUCAAAUCGUCUGCAGGUACAUAAACAGCUUGGAUCGAAGUUAUAGAUCCCUUUUUGGUAGAAGUAAUUCUUUCUUGCAAAGAACCCAUUUCUGUACUAAGGGUAGGUUGAUAACCCACUGCGGAGGGCAUUCUCCCUAAUAAGGCGGAUACUUCCGAUCCUGCUUGAACAAAACGAAAGAUAUUAUCGAUGAAUAAAAGCACGUCUUGCUUAUUAACAUCUCGGAAAUAUUCUGCCAUAGUUAGGGCAGUUAAACCAACUCUCAUACGAGCUCCCGGUGGUUCAUUCAUUUGGCCAUAGACUAGAGCUACUUUUGAUUCCUCAAUAUUUUUUUCAUUAAUUACUCCAGAUUCCUUCAUUUCCAUAUAAAGAUCAUUUCCUUCACGAGUCCGUUCCCCUACUCCACCAAAUACGGAUACGCCUCCAUGAGCUUUAGCAAUGUUAUUGAUUAAUUCCAUGAUGAGUACUGUUUUACCUACUCCUGCCCCCCCCAAAUAGUCCGAUUUUUCCUCCACGUCGAUAAGGAGCUAAAAGAUCGACCACCUUAAUACCUGUUUCAAAGAUAGAUAAUUUCGUAUCUAACUCGAUAAAGGCAGGCGCAGAUCUAUGAAUAGGGAAUGUUGCACUAGUAUCUACAGGACCCAAAUUGUCAAUAGGCUCCCCCAGAACGUUAAAAAUUCGUCCGAGAGUAGUUCCACCGACUGGAACACUGAGAGGAGCUCCCGUGUCAAUCACUUCCAUUCCUCUCAUCAACCCGUCUGUAGCACUCAUAGCUACAGCUCUAACUCGAUUAUUUCCUAAUAAUUGUUGUACCUCACAAGUCACAUUAAUUUGCUUAUCGCAGUGUCUCGACUCUUGACUAUCAAAGCGUUAUAAAUAUAAGGCAACUUGCCCGGGGGAAAAGUGAUAUCCAGCACGGGUCCAAUAAUUUGAUCAAUACGCCCUGUGCUUUUUUCUUCAAUUGUGGAAACCCCGGCACGCGAAGUAGUAGGAUUGGUUCUCAUAAUUAUCACAUAAUUUUCAAAAAAAAGGAAUUUGUCGAAAUUUUUCUUUUUUUCUUGUUGAAUAAUGCCAAAUCAAAUCAAAAAAAAUAUCCAAAAAUCCAAAACUAAAAAGGAAAUGAAUUAGUUAAUUCAAUAAAAAAGAAAAGGGGACUAGCACUUGAUUUCGUUGCCCAAGCGAAUCCCAUUCAAUCGUUUACUUAUGGAAUGAGUCCGUUGGAAAGUUCAAUCAAUCUUUUUUUUCAUAUAAAUUUUGCCUUUUGUGAAGGAUCUGUGCCUACUCUACCUUCCUAUCUAGGACUUCGAUAUACAAAAUAUAUACUACUGUGAAGCAUAGAUUGCUGUCAACAGAGAAUUUUCUUAGUAUUUAGGUAUUUAGAUUCAAAAUAUCAAAGGGGCCUAUUAAGAACUUUCAAAAUUUUUAAAUAAGGAUUAGGGAUUGGUUUGGGUUGCGCUAUAUCUAUCAAAGAGUAUACAAUAAUGAUGGAUUUAGUGAAUCAAAUCCAUGGUUUAAUAACGAACCGUGUUAACUUACCAUAACAACAACUCAAUUCCUAUCGAAUUCUUUUCCUAUCGAAUUCCUCUUUUCCUAUCGAAUUCCUCUUUUCCUAUCGAAUUCCUAUAGUAGAAUUUCUAUAGGAUAGAACGUACACACGGUGUACGCAUUAUAUAUGAAUGAAACAUAUUCAUUAACUUAAGCAUACUCCUUUUUUUUUAGAUUUUUGCAAAGGUUUCAUUUACGCCUAAUCCAUAUCGAGUAGACCCUGUCGUUGUGAGAAUUCUUAAUUCAUGAGUUGUAGGGAGGGACUUAUGUCACCACAAACAGAAACUAAAGCAAGUGUUGGAUUUAAAGCUGGUGUUAAGGAUUAUAAAUUGACUUACUACACCCCGGAGUACGAAACCAAGGAUACUGAUAUCUUGGCAGCAUUCCGAGUAACUCCUCAGCCCGGGGUUCCGCCUGAAGAAGCAGGGGCUGCAGUAGCUGCGGAAUCUUCUACUGGUACAUGGACAACUGUUUGGACUGAUGGACUUACCAGUCUUGAUCGUUACAAAGGACGAUGCUAUCACAUCGAGCCCGUUCCUGGAGCAGAUCAAUAUAUCUGUUAUGUAGCUUAUCCAUUAGACCUAUUUGAAGAGGGUUCUGUUACUAACAUGUUUACUUCCAUUGUGGGUAACGUAUUUGGUUUCAAAGCCCUACGCGCUCUACGUUUGGAGGAUCUACGAAUUCCCAUUGCUUAUGCAAAAACUUUCCAAGGUCCGCCUCACGGUAUCCAAGUUGAAAGGGAUAAGUUGAACAAGUAUGGUCGUCCUUUAUUGGGAUGUACUAUUAAACCAAAAUUGGGAUUAUCCGCAAAAAAUUACGGUAGAGCGUGUUAUGAGUGUCUACGCGGUGGACUUGAUUUUACCAAAGAUGAUGAAAACGUAAACUCACAACCAUUUAUGCGCUGGAGAGACCGUUUUGUCUUUUGUGCUGAAGCAAUUUAUAAAGCACAAGCCGAAACCGGUGAAAUCAAGGGGCAUUACUUGAAUGCGACUGCAGGUACAUGCGAAGAAAUGAUUAAGAGAGCUGUAUUUGCAAGGGAAUUAGGGGUUCCUAUUGUAAUGCAUGACUACAUAACUGGAGGAUUCACCCAAAUACUAGUUUGGCUCAUUAUUGCCGCGACAACGGCCUACUUCUUCACAUUCACCGAGCAAUGCAUGCAGUUAUUGAUAGACAGAAAAAUCAUGGUAUGCAUUUCCGUGUAUUAGCUAAAGCAUUGCGUAUGUUGGGGGGAGAUCAUAUCCACGCCGGUACAGUAGUAGGUAAGUUAGAAGGGGAACCGAAAUAACUUUAGGUUUUGUUGAUUUAUUGCGCGAUGAUUUCAUUGAAAAAGAUCGUUCUCGCGGUAUCUUUUUCACUCAGGACUGGCAUCCAUGCCAGGUGUUAUACCGGUGGCUUCAGGGGGUAUUCAUGUUUGGCAUAUGCCAGCUCUGACCGAAAUCUUUGGAGACGAUUCCGUAUUACAAUUUGGUGGAGGAACCUUAGGACAUCCUUGGGGAAAUGCACCUGGUGCAGCAGCUAAUCGUGUGGCUUUAGAAGCCUGUGUACAAGCUCGUAACGAAGGGCGCGAUCUUGCUCAUGAAGGUAAUGAAAUUAUCAAAGCAGCUUGCAAAUGGAGUCCUGAACUAGCCGCAGCUUGUGAAGUAUGGAAGGCGAUCAAAUUUGAUUUCGCGCCGGUGGAUACCAUAGAUUAAGUAGAUAAAACUAGAUAUAAAGAAGGUCUAAAUAAAAUAAAAAAGAAGCAAAAUAGAAAAAGAAAAAAUCAGUUACGAAAUGCAGUAAUUCUUCUUUAUUCUUCUAAUUGAUUGCAAUUAAAUUCGGCUCAAUCUUUUUUUUUAGAAAAGAUUGAGCCGAAUUUAAAUAGAUCUUGAUACGAUCAUGAGACUUGACAAAUCGAGAUCCUUCUAUUCUAUAUAUCUAGAAUAUAGAAAGGUAUAAUACAAUAAACAAAUAGAAAUCAAAAUAUAGUAUUAUCAUACGAUAAUGGAAUCAAAUACGCAGUAUUUACAGAAAAGAGUCUUCGUUUAUUGGGAAAGAAUCAAUAUACUUUUAAUGUUGAAUCAGGAUUCACUAAGACAGAAAUAAAGCAUUGGGUCGAACUCUUCUUUGGUGUUAAGGUAGUAGCUGUGAAUAGCCAUCGACUACCCGGAAAGGGUAGAAGAAUGGGACCUAUUCUGGGACAUACAAUGCAUUACAGAUGUAUGAUCAUUACCCUUCAACUGGGUAUUCUAUUCCACUUCUACUUUUUAAAUUAAAGUAAAAUUAAAGGGUAUUCUGAAAGAGGUAUUUCUUUUAUUUUCACCAUAGUUUUCUUUUGAAUCCAAUUUCAAGUUCGAUUAGAAGGAUAGAAAGGCGAUGAGAAUGGGAAAAGAAAAAUCCAAUAUUUUUAAUUAGUUCCCCUUUUUUGCAAUUUUCUUAUUAUCUAUUCCAUUCAUUUUUUUUAUAUCUAUAAAAAGUAUUCUAAAAAAAUAGUAUUCUAUACAAAAUCUUUAUUUUGUAAACUAAAAAAUACAAUAGUCAAUAUUCCUUAUAAUAGAUAUACUUAAUUAUAUCAUAAGAAUCUUAAGAUAUAUUUCGAAUAGAUAGAAAUAGUAAAUUUUAAUUGAGACACAUAUUCUAUGACAGAUUUUAACUUACCCUCUAUUUUCGUGCCUUUAGUAGGCUUAGUAUUUCCGGCAAUUGCAAUGGCUUCCUUAUUUCUUUAUGUGCAGAAAAAUAAGAUUGUCUAGAAACGGGGGGCCAAAUUUUCUUAAUGUAUUUCCAGGAUCAUAAUACAGAUAUUUUUUUGUGUAAGUAAUAUAAUAUGAUAGGGUAUGUAGCUCUUUCUACACACAAAUGAAAAACGUCUAUGGAUGCAGAUAUAGGCUACGAGCAUAAAUGCAUGCAUAUGCGUAGCCAAGUAUAGCGAGUUUUUUUUAAGUGGAUCCACAAAUUGAAUUCUUUUUGAAUAGAAAGUCAAUGUAUCUAACCAAUUAUUUCACAGGAGUACUAGCUACUGAAGGCUAUUUCAGAAUAAAAAAAAGUAAAAAUCAUUUAGCUUAUUCUCUCAAUUUCAAUUGACCGCUACUGGAUUUAGUAUAUCUAAUAUGAAUUGGCGAUCAGAACACAUAUGGAUAGAACUUCUAAAAGGUUCUCGAAAAAGAGGUAAUUUUUUCUGGUCCUGUAUUCUUUUUCUAGGUUCAUUAGGAUUCUUAGCGGUUGGGGCUUCCAGUUAUCUUGGUAAGAAUAUGAUAUCCGUACUUCCAUCUCAACAAAUUCUUUUUUAUCCACAGGGGGUCGUGAUGUCUUUCUACGGAAUCGCGGGCCUAUUCAUUAGCUCCUAUUUGUGGUGCACUAUUUUAUGGAAUGUAGGCAGUGGUUAUGACCGAUUCGAUAGAAAAGAGGGAAUAGUGUGCAUUUUUCGUUGGGGAUUCCCUGGAAUAAAACGUCGCAUCUUCCUUCGAUUCCUUGUGCGGGAUAUCCAAUCAAUUCGAAUUCAGGUUAAAGAGGGUCUUUAUCCUCGUCGUAUCCUUUAUAUGGAAAUCCGGGGCCAGGGGGUCAUUCCCUUGACUCGUACUGAUGAUAAGUUUUUUACUCCACGAGAAAUGGAACAAAAAGCUGCCGAAUUGGCCUAUUUCUUGCGCGUGCCAAUUGAAGUAUUUUGAAUACCAAUUGCAUUGCAAUUGUAAGGGGAUUUUCGAGUAUUUAUCUAAAGGAAGGCACAAACGAGGAUAAGAGAAAAUUGCUUCUAAUUUUUUUUGUCCAAGUAAGAUAUAUGGCAUAAUAUUCUUCCAUUUUUAUAUGAAAGGCCUUUUUUUUAUUUCUCUAUUCCACUCCAUUUAGAUCUAAGAAAGAACCCAAUACAAUGAAAUUCCACUAGUAUACAAAAAGAGAAAUGGAUACAAACACAAGGUCUCUUGUUAUAGAAUUUUUGUUUCAAAGAAAAUAAAUAUCAUAUAUAUUCAGCGAAUGAAAUAGAGUCGGCAAAUGAAGCGGAUUCAUUAACAACUCAAUUUACAGAUCAAAAAUGAAAAAAAAGAAAGCAUUGCCUUCUUUCCUAUAUCUUGUAUUUAUCGUACUUUUGCCCUGGGGAGUCUCUUUCUCUUUUAACAAAUGUCUGGAACUUUGGAUUAAGAAUUGGUGGAAUACCAGGCAAUCCGAAACUUUCUUAACUGAUAUUCAAAAGAAAAGGAUUCAUAGAAUUAGAAGAACUUUUUCUCUUGGAUGAAAUGAUAAAAGAGAAACCAAGACACAUGUACAAAAACCUCCUAUAGGAAUACACAAGGAAAUAACACAAUUGGCCAAAAUAGAUAAUGAGGAUCAUCUCCAUAGCAUUUUACAUUUCUCAACAAAUAUAAUCUGUUUGGCUAUUCUAAGUGGUUCUUUUUUUCUGGGUAAAGAAGAACUUGUCAUUUUGAAUUCUUGGGUUUAGGAAUUUUUCUAUAACUUAAAUGACUCAAUAAAAGCUUUUUUUAUUCUUUUAGUUACUGAUUUUUUUGUUGGAUUUCACUCCACCCGCGGUUGGGAACUACUAAUUCGUUGGGUCUACAACAAUUUUGGAUGGGCUCCUAACGAGCUAAUUUUCACUAUUUUUGUUUGUAGUUUUCCUGUUAUUCUAGACACGUGUUUGAAAUUUUGGGUCUUUUUUUGUUUACACCGUCUAUCUCCUUCACUUGUAGUCAUUUAUCAUUCAAUUAGUGAAGCAUAAACUCACUCAUUUGAUUUCUAAUAUUUUUCCUAAUAUUAAUCAAAUUAGCAUAUUUCUUACUUUAGAAAGAAAGCCUUUUCCUUUUUAGCAAAAUUCUUUCUAUUUCUACCUGCUCAAGGUAUUCAUCAUUCCAGUACAACUGUUGCAGUAGAAUGACAACAGACUCGUGUAUAGGGAACUAGAUUAGCUUAGCUACCUAUCUAAUUUAUUGUAGAAAUUCCGGGAUCCGCGAUUGGACAUGGAAAAUAGAAAUACUUUUUCUUGGUUAAAAGAACAGAUGAUUCGAUCGAUUUCUGUAUUGAUCAUGAUAUACGUAAUAACUCGCACAUCUAUUUCAAAUGCAUAUCCCAUUUUUGCGCAGCAGGGUUAUGAAAACCCACGGGAAGCAACUGGACGAAUUGUAUGUGCCAAUUGCCAUUUAGCUAAUAAGCCUGUGGAUAUUGAGGUCCCCCAAGCAGUGCUUCCUGAUACUGUAUUUGAAGCAGUUCUUCGAAUCCCUUAUGAUAUGCAGCUGAAACAAGUUCUUGCUAAUGGUAAAAAGGGAGGGUUGAAUGUGGGUGCUGUUCUUAUUUUGCCCGAGGGAUUCGAAUUAGCGCCGCCCGAUCGUAUUUCUCCUGAGUUGAAAGAAAAGAUAGGAAAUCUCUCUUUUCAGAGUUAUCGUCCCAAUAAAAAAAUAUUCUUGUGAUAGGCCCUGUUCCCGGUAAGAAAUAUAGGAAAUUGUCUUUCCCAUUCUUUCCCCCGAUCCCGCUACGAAAAAAGAUGUUCAUUUCUUAAAAUACCCCAUAUAUGUAGGGGGAAACCGAGGAAGGGGACAGAUCUAUCCUGAUGGUAGCAAGAGUAACAAUACGGUCUAUAAUGCUACAUCAACAGGUAUAGUAAAAAUAUACUAUGUAAAGAAAAGGGGGGAUAUGAAAUAUCCAUAGUCGAUGCGUCGGAUGGACGCCAAGUGAUUGAUAUUAUACCUCCCGGGCCAGAACUUCUAGUUUCAGAGGGGGAAUCGAUCAAGCUGGAUCAAC
rnacentral:lncRNA from 1 species